rnacentral:rRNA from 1 species
CCUACGGGUGGCAGCAGUGAGGAAUAUUGGUCAAUGGGCUUACGCCUGAACCAGCCCAGUCGCGUGAGGGAAGACUGCCCUAUGGGUUGUAGACCUCUUUUGUCAGGGAGCAAUUGUCGCUACGUGUAGCGUUAUCGAGAGUACCUGACGAAAAAGCAUCGGCUAACUCCGUGCCAGCAGCCGCGGUCAUACGGAGGAUGCGAGCGUUAUCCGUAGUUAUUGGGUUUAAAGGGUGCGUAGGCGGAAUGCCAAGUCAGCGGUAAAAUCGCGGGGCUCAACCUCGCUGCGCCGUUGAAACUGGCGGUCUUGAGUGGGCGAGAAGGAAGCGGAAUGCGUGGUGUAGCGGUGAAAUGCAUAGAGAGCACGCAGAACUCCGAUUGCGAAGGCAGCAUAACGGCGCCCAACUGACGCUGAAGCACGAAAGCGUGGGUAUCGAACAGGAUUAGAGACCCCUGUAGUA